rnacentral:rRNA from 1 species
AAGCCUACGGGACGCAGCAGUGAGGAAUAUUGGUCAAUGGCCGAGAGGCUGAACCAGCCAAGUCGCGUGAGGGAUGACGGCCCUACGGGUUGUAAACCUCUUUUGCCGGGGAGCAACGGGGUCCUUGCGAGGGCCCAAUGAGAGUACCCGGAGAAAAAGCAUCGGCUAACUCCGUGCCAGCAGCCGCGGUAAUACGGAGGAUGCGAGCGUUAUCCGGAUUUAUUGGGUUUAAAGGGUGCGUAGGCGGGCUGUUAAGUCAGCGGUCAAAUGUCGGGGCUCAACCCCGGCCUGCCGUUGAAACUGGG